rnacentral:rRNA from 1 species
UACGAAGGGGGCUAGCGUUGUUCGGAAUUACUGGGCGUAAAGCGCACGUAGGCGGACAUUUAAGUCAGGGGUGAAAUCCCAGAGCUCAACUCUGGAACUGCCUUUGAUACUGUCGAUCUGGAGUAUGGAAGAGGUGAGUGGAAUUCCGAGUGUAGAGGUGAAAUUCGUAGAUAUUCGGAGGAACACCAGUGGCGAAGGCGGCUCACUGGUCCAUUACUGACGCUGAGGUGCGAAAGCGUGGGGAGCAAACAGG